GAGAAGGACAUUGAAGGAGGGGAUGUGGUAAAAGCUCAAAAUUGAAGGGAUUGGUAGCUCCCGACUUGCUUAGCCUUAAUUUUUAUUUUAUUUGUUGAUGGGUAUGUGGGCAAAACUGUUUGGUCCAACGUCUGCUGUCUAUCCCUAAUUGUACGGAGAGAAGUCAAGAAAUAACCAUGUUACUGGAACUUUGGAGUCACGUAGGCUUGACCAGAACAGAAUCUUCAGAAGAAGGAUCCCGACCUGAAACGACAACUUUCCUGCUCCUCUGUUGCUGCCUGGCCUGCUGUGCUCCACUGGGUCCACACUGAGUUCCCUCUACCCACACACACAAUUUUGACUGGAAAAAAAGCCAACCUUUCAUUUGCCUUAAAAGUAAAACAAAGACAAAAAUUGCAAAUAAUUCUGAAACAAAAACAAAAAUUGCUGGAGAAACUCAGCAAGUCUAAAGCAUCUUUGGGGAGAAAAACAGAGUUAAGGUUUCAAAUCCAGUUAUUCUGUCAGAACUUCUGCUCCAAAUGUGUUUAAUUACAUCUCUGAACAAGUUGAAUAGAAAAAUCUCCAGUACUGCCCGUUUUGCACCACUGACCAAGAUGAAUAUCCUCACAUGUUCAAUUGAUUCAAUCACACUUUCCAGUAUAACAAAAUUACAGACAUCAGCAUACAAUUUAGAAAUGCAGACUAUUCUGAAGGUUCCCCUCCCUUUACAGAAUCCAGUCGAUUCCUAAAUUAUGUAUGUUUUUUGCACUACACUACCUGGGAUUCUAUUCUGUAUUAAUAUUUUUGUGUAUAUCAUUACUUCUUGUUAACAGUCGUAAAAAUACUCAUUCUAUCACAUCACAUCAUAUCAUUUUCCCUGCAAUUGAUAACAAGCAGCUCUGAACAUUCUCUGAUAAGAAAGGUAUUCAAACUGACGAAAGGCCAUACCAAAGCUGCCAAAACAAUUCAAUAAGUGGCUGUUCAAUGACUUGAAAGUCCAAUGAUUCCAAAACCCAAACGUCCCCUGAUUCACUCUUGGUUUGUGUUGACUUAUUUGAUCAUAAGCAUCCUACAACUGACAGUAGAAGCACCAUUUGAAAAUUGAAUAACUAACUAAACAGUGAAUGAACACCACAACUGGUAGAUCUAGGUUCUGUGGCAUUUGAUUUGGUCUACCAUGAAUUUAAAUCAAUAUGCACCAAGUGGCAACAUAGUCAAGUCCAUUUCAUUAAUUUAUUUUUCAUGAAGUGACUGCAACAAGAAGUUUGUUAAAAAGUUGUUGUGGAGUUUUAUGAUCUUGAUAGAAUGAUUGGAAUGUCAUUUGACCGCCCUGGAAUCAAGAAAAAUUAACUAAUACUGCUUUAGCCACUGUUUAAAAUUGCUAGUCAUGGUCCAUUUCUAGUCAGUGGCAACCCCCAGAAUAUUGAUAGUUGGAGAUUCAACUAUGAAUGAUAAUGCAUCAUGGGCAGAUGGUUGAAUUCUGUAUUGUUGGAGAUGGUCAUUACUUGGCACUUGUGUAUUGCAAAUGCUCCUUUCCACUUAUCAGCCCAAGUCAGGAUCUUGCUGCAUUUGGACACUGACUGUUUCAGUAUCUAAGGAGAUAGCAAGAACUGCAGAUGCCGGAGUCAGAGACAAUACAGUACGGAGCUAACAACAACACCUUCCAGUCACCAACCAUUUUAACUCCUCCUCCCACUCCCUGGGUGACAUGUCUAUCCUGGGCCUCCUUCAGUGUCACAAUGACACCACCCACAAACUGGCAGAGCACCACCUCACAUUCUGCCUUGGGAGCCUACAGCUCAAUGGCCUAAACACUGAUGUCACCAGUUUUAAAAUCUCCCUAUGCCCGGCCUCAUCCCGUGUCUAACCCUCCCUCUCAUCCCCCCUCCUUGACCUGACACAAUUUGUCGAUCUUCUAUCUACCCAACACAUCACACCGACCAAUCCCCCCACUCCCUACCUGCACGCACCUAUCACCAUCCCACCUACCUUCCCCAGCCCCACCCCUCUCUCUAUUUCUGAGCUCCCUUGCUCCUUCCCAUUUCUGAAGAAGGUCCUGACCCAAAACGUCAACUUUCCUGCUCCUCUGAUGCUGCCUGGCCUGCUAUGUUCCUCCAGCUCCAUACUGUGCUACCUCAGUAUGUAAGGAGCUAUGAUGGCUCUGAAUAUUGUGUAAUCAUCCAUAAACAUGCCCCUUUCUGACCUUAUGAUGAAGGGUGCAUAAUUGUUGAAACAGCUGAGGAAUUCCUGCAGUGAUUUCUUGUGGCUAAGAUGAUUGAUCACCAACGACCACAGACAUCUUACUUUACGUUAAAUAUGACUCCAAGUAACAAAGAGCUUUCCCUCUGAUUCCCAUUUGGCUAGGGUUUCUUGGUGCCACACUUGUUCAAAUGUUGCCUUAAUGUCAAAGGCAAUCACCCUCACUUUCCUUCACAGGUUCAUCUCUUUUAUUCAUGUUUGGACCCAGCCUAUAAUGAGGACAGUAACUCAGUGGGCCAGACAAACUGAGCGACAGUGAGUAGGUUAUUGCUGAGUAAGUACUGCUUUGCUCACUGCAGGUUACACCAGGUGAAUAUAGCAAAUUUUCCCAAUCCAAAGGGCAUUCAUGAACCAGAUGUUUUUGGCAAUUACUUCAUGCUUACCAUGAAAUUAGCUUUUAGUUCCAGAUUUAUUCACUAAGUUCAAGUUGAACAUUGUUGGAUUUGAACCCAUGUCCCAAGAGCUUUAGCCUAGAUAUCUGGAUUACUAGUCUAAUGACAACACUAGUAUAUCACCUAUGAUAUUGAUAGAUCAUCCAUCUCCCCAUGAUCUUUUUCAGAUAAAUAAUGUUGUAGGAUCUCUCCAUUCACAUAAAAAUACAGAUCAGACCUUAAUUGCUGAUCUAAAAUAUAACAUUUCCAACAAUGCAGCACUCUCUAUGCCUUUUGAAGUAUCAGCUAGAUGAUAUGUUCAAGCCCAGGAGCAAGCUUUAAGGUUGAAGCCGCUGACUUAAAGAUGAGAAUCAACUGAGCUAAACUGACCUCAAAGAAAGAGAAAUCCUGUCCUGAAACUAUCUGUCUGUAGUAGACAGUAGUGUAUCACUCCCUGAUGUGAUAUUAAGAAGAUGAUACACACAUUGCUCCUUUCCUCCUAUUGGCACCGGAGUAGGAUGCUUCAGCAGGAGGUCAUCCACUCUAUCCAUUUCUUUCCUAUUUCUUUCUCUUUUUUUUCUCUCCUGGUGUUUCUUUUCUUCACACGCGGCCUCAAUGCAGACCCAGUGAGGUCUCCUCUCAGCCUCUGGCAGUCUCUCGGCUGAGUCUCUUGGUGGCCCAUGGCAGUUUCUCGGCCCAAUGUAGUGGUGCCUUGGCCCCAUCUCUCAGCAGCCCAUGCUGGUUUCUCAACCUAGUAUGGCAGUGUCUUGGCCCCGUCUCUCAAUGGCCCAUGGCAGUCUCUCAGCUUGGCAUGGCAGUGCCUCACCCUGGAAUCUCGGCCCAGUGUGGCAGAAUCUCCCCCCACCCCACCAAUGUGAGGGACGCCAUAGAUUGGGUAGUCCCUGUACUCCUAAUCUUCUGGCAUUAUUGCUACAGUGGAAAUCCAAUUCUUUUCUUCCCUCUGCACAGAGGCCAGUAAAAUCAACAGUAGUAUCACUCAGGUUAAGAUUUGCAAACUAUUUGGGAUAUUUCUGGUCUGUUUAGAUCACCUAUUCACUGUUUUCAGAAACUGAGUUAUAGCAGGAGCCAUGUACUAUCUGAGAUGAAUUACCUUACUCCCAUACUGCGACUGUGGACAUCACAAGUAACAUGCAUUAGACAAGGUGGAGUCCCCACCAUUGAAACUGGGUACCACAUGUUAUGGC